rnacentral:rRNA from 1 species
AACGAACGCUGGCGGCAUGCCUAAUACAUGCAAGUCGAACGAGACCUUCGGGUCUAGUGGCGUAUGGGUGCGUAACGCGUGGGAACCUGCCCUUAGGUUCGGAAUAACUCCCCGAAUGGGGUGCUAAUACCGGACAAUGUCUUCGGACCAAAGAUUUAUCGCCUUUGGAUGGGCCCGCGUUGGAUUAGCUAGUUGGUAGGGUAAAAGCCUACCAAGGCGACGAUCCAUAGCUGGUCUGAGAGGAUGAUCAGCCACACUGGGACUGAGACACGGCCCAGACUCCUACGGGAGGCAGCAGUGGGGAAUAUUGGACAAUGGGCGAAAGCCUGAUCCAGCAAUGCCGCGUGAGUGAUGAAGGCCUUAGGGUUGUAAAGCUCUUUUACCCGGGAUGAUAAUGACAGUACCGGGAGAAUAAGCUCCGGCUAACUCCGUG